rnacentral:rRNA from 1 species
UCUGCUCAAUGAUUUUUUAAAUUGCUGUGGUAUUUUGACUAUACAAAGGUAUUGAAAUAAGAUUUUAAUUGAAUGCUAAGAGAAUGGAAAUACAGGGAAAAACUUUUUUUAAAUUAAAAAUUGAAAUUUUUUUAAUUUGUGCAGAAACAAUUAUUAAUAUUAAGGACAAGAAGACCCUAUGAAUUUAUUAAAUUUUUAUUUAAUAUGUAAUUACUAUUAGAAAAAUUUUGGCUGGGGCGGCUAAAAAAUAUUUUAAACUUUUUAAAAAUAAAAUGAUCCAUUAUUAAUGAUUAUAUGUUAAAUACUCUAGGGAUAACAGCGUAAUAUUUUUUG